ACUGGGAGCUGCUUUUAAGCAAUUGAGUUCAGAUCUCGCCGAUGUCGUGCAUGCUGGGUCUGCGCCGUUGCCCUUGUCUUUGAAGUCCAUUGCAUUUGUGAUUUUUCUUUGAUCGUUGCUGUAGAAGUGACUGAAAUGUUUUUCUGGUAGGUUUGCACGCACGCAGGCGUGAGAGGGCUGAGAACUUCGGUAAAGGCGGAGCAUCCUGUGGUGCGCCAGCUCACAAACCCCACUCGUGAUCGGCCCUGGAAAGAACACGAGAGGAUGGAGAUGAGGAAAACCAGGCGGGUCUGGAAGGAAGAAACGUCCGUGUGAGGUGCGCAGUGAGGACGGACACCACGGAGGCUCUUGGAAUGUGUACAUGAGAAAUUAGUGACCACAUGGUUUCAUUCACUGAAACAGCCGAUUGCAAAAUUAGACAAAUACUUUGACUUUGCCCCCGGCUUUCGCGGCUGCUGCACCUCUGAAGGCUCCGCUCACCUCUAAUUACACGUCCGCUGAAAUCAUGCAGAGAAGGACCAGUGUAAGUCAUUAGCCGUCCUAAAUGAAUGUGCAGCUGACUCGCUAACAACGGGAUUAACACUUGACAGGGAAAGCGGUGCACGCUGAGGAGAGGGUCAUCGGGUGACUGCCUGUUACACAGAAAUAAUUGCCACGCGAUGCUGAGAGAAGCUGCUGUCUGCAGGCUGUGUUUGCUGCGCGGGGAUGUGUCCUCUGUCACCUCUUACCCGCUGCACGGCACAGGAGGUGAGCCUGGGCAGCGGGCACCCGUGCGGACCGGGGAGCGUGAAAACAGGUUCUGGAAAUACAAGGCGAUCUCCAGCCCAGGGAUGUUCAAUCGGAACCUCCCACCUACUAAACAGAGCCCAAACGUUUUAAAAAUGCCUCUUUGCUUGAUCUUCCACUGCCGUAAUAUUGUGCGUGGCUUGACACAAAUGGUUGGUUUGGGGUUGUUUUAAUUUUUUAAAGAUAUUUAAUGAAGACAAUAGUAGGCAUAGUAAAAAUAUUCGUCUUCUUCCCCUACCUGCCAUUUUCUUAUUUAAAUGCACUUCAUGAUUCCAUGAAAUAUCCACACUACAAUGAGCCUUUCCUAGAUUAAACUGUCUCCAGAUAGAGUCUUCUCUAACUAGUAUUUUACCUUUUUGAGAAUACAGUUCCUAUUCAUAGAGUGUAACAGAUCUGUUAAUUCUGUGGCCACGAAGAGAAAGUACCUGUGGAGGACUUAAAAAUGCAAUGACAGUUAGAAGAUGUGCUACAAGGCUGAGCGAGGGGAUUGUGGUCACCGCUGUCACCAUGGUGCUGUUGAUGAAUUACUCAACUGUGCUUGCUGAAAAUAUGCCACUACAUUAGCAUAAUGUCAUGUGGAAUAUCCUGUUCAGCAGCGAGAGUGAUCUUACAGUUAGGAAAGAUUUUGGGUAGGACUUCCUGCUAGAAUAAAUGCUCAUCACUCUAUUGAAGUCACUGCAGCUGUUACGAUUCAGAUGGAGCAGACAAGGACUGAAAUGAUGGCAGAGCAUUCAGCGCGCACUUGGGGUCGAGCAGAAAGUGGCUCCAGGUUGGAAUUGUGAGCAGGGAUGCAUUUUUCUUUAGUGCUCUCUUGCAGUGCAGAACUUGUGUAUCAACUGCAAUAAUUCUCAGCCAGGAUCACAGGGGAUUUCCAGGUAAGCAGAGUCUGGAACUGGCUUUUAUUUGGUUUAUUGUUUUAAACUUGCCAACAAUACGUGAUGGAACACUUCUUGGCCUAUUUUGGAAGAACUGUACCGUUUCAUAGCAAGUUAGCUCGGUCAAAGAAAUCUAACUGGACUAAACAUAGAUACACUUUGACAUCUUUAGCCCAAUUUAAAGAGAGGGGAAUUUUGGGCAGACAUUUUAAGUUAUCCAGUCAGCCACUGAGCUGAUGAUACAAUAACAACACACAACUAAGGCUGAGGGAAGACACAACAGCAGUGGGGUGGUAUUGUACAAUGUGAAAAGGAUGUUCAUAUCCAAACAUCACAUGCACAGCUGAGCAUGAAUUCACAUUAGAUCAACUUGAGCUUCAACCAUAUAUUUAUUAGAUAUGGGUGGAAACAAGUAUUUUUCAGUAGCGGAGUACUAAUAUGGCAAAGGUUUUCAUCUGAUGAAAUGCAUGACUUCUAAAAACCUGCAUAUGGCUAGCAUUUCCAAAGGCUUGUUGAACCGUAGCAUCUGAAAACAAGCGAUGAUACUUAGUCAUCUCUGUUAUUAUUAAUGUCUUUUUUGACCUUGUCUUUUUCUGUACCUAUAACAGCCAGUCAGGUUUGCCAGGGCAUGCCCUGUACAGAUUUUCAUGAGUGAAGCUAAAGACACAAAUCCACAUUUUGUCCUACUGGCACUGAAACGUUUGAGCGCGGUGCACGAGUGGAGCGGGUGAGGUGAGCGCAGCGUUGAUAGUCCCACACUCAGCCUCAGCCUCCUCGGUGCACGUCCCCGCCAGCCCAGCUCAACCCAUCGUUGGGCUCUUGCGCCGAGUGCAGCGGAGGGAUCUGUGCUACUCAUGAGCAAAAAGGCCACAGAAAAAAACAAUGACGGGAAGGAAGUUUACGGCUGAGCCAAUGGACAUCCCACAGAUCGUCUUCCAUUCACCGCGGAGUACUGCUUCCCUGGGUCUGAUGAACUGACAUCUGGUUCGUGUAUUUGCCUGAUUAUUUAGUUCUCUGCAUCACUUUGAGCAAUGUAAUCUCUGUAAUUGGUACGCAGAAGUUUUUUGAGUAUGGUUAAAAGAGCAGAUUCUGUGUCGAGGUCCCAUCACGGUUGUUUUUGCUAUCGGCUUCAGAAAUCAUGCAAAAGAAGUCUAAUUUUGUGUUUAUUCAUUUACAGAGGUACCGUAUUUGGAGCCCUGGAAACAGUAUUUAGGUCUGCAUGCGAAGGAAAUAAAAUGCCCUAAUUAAUUUUCUGCAUCGUUGAAACGGAGGUUCAGUGGAACGCAGCGGGCAGAGAUUGCAGCCGUCAGAGAACCAUCCCGAACCAACCCUCCAGCGGACGGGGAGCAAAAGGAAAAAAAAUGACAGUGUCAUUUGGUCUGCAGUAUGUGCCGGAACUCCUCCAUUCACAUUUGUGAAUGCCAGGUGGUGGUGGUGAUGUUCUGGAGGGUGAGUUACUGUUGUUUCAGCUACUGGGGCUCCAAAAACCCCAACGUUCUGCUUUCCCUGAAUGAUAGUUCUUUCUAUAGACUCUGAGGCUACGGCAAAGGAACUGAGUCACAAUAAAUAGGAAACAGAACACGUGUGAAUCUUACCUAAUAAAUAAGGUAAAAUAUACAUACCACUGCAAGUGAAAGAUUUAUAUCAUCUGGUUUCUGUGUGUUUCAAUCUGUACAUGACCAAAGCUGCUUUCAUUAUUAGUGUAUUGAGUUCUGUGUACCACUGGAUUACAUGAAGUACUAUUUGCACCCAUUUUAUCUCUAGUACCUCUAUUACAUUGAUUCAGACAUGAGGUAAGAGAGACUUGUACUAAAUGAAUGCAGUUCAUUAUUUAGCUGUAUCUGGCAAACUGAAUAAAGGGAGGGGGGGGUGGUUUUGGCACCUGACCUGCUUUGGUGUCUUUUGCCUGCAGAGUGCUCGUCGUGAGAGAGAACAGUUUGCUACAGGAGCAGCAGCCUCCCGAACACCCGCGGGGACUCACGCAUGGCCGCGUCUUCCUGACAGCCUCAAGUGCCUCUCGAGUUAUUGGAGCUGGUCCUCCAACCCCUGUUCACACUGCUGCUCUUUACUGGGAAUUCAUCACAGGCUGUUUUAUCUGGGUGAGAGCUGAGCAUACACAUGGGGUUGAGUCCAUGCAGCGCAUCUACAAAUAGACAGACUGCCAGGCAAGGUCCCCGGCCUCGCUUAUCAGAGCAAACCGGCUGCAGACUGGACUUCUUGAUAGGCCAAGGUGAGCCUGGAGCAUCGCGCCCCAGGCAGCUGCACAUCCCAGCGUGCGACAGGUAAGACGUGCACCUGCUUGUCACAGGUCAGGGAAAGGUCCCAUUUGAGAUUGUUUGCAGGUCUGUGUUGAAAAGCCUCUUUGAUAUGAGUGGCUAGUGCAGGUAUGGCAAGAACGGUACUUGUGAUAACAUUUGAACAUCACAGCUGUGUUGCACAGUACAAUAGUGAUGCUGAAGAAAAGCCACUCAUGUUGGCAGCGUCUGUGCUGAGUGUAUCGGAAGCAACAGAGCGAAUGGCGAUCUUCACUGCGCCUGCCCAGGUGAAUACGUGUCCCUGCCCAGUUUUCACACUCUGCUGCAAUUGAAAGCCAGUGCAAGUUGCAGUCAUGUCUGUCAGAGGUGCAUAUUUCAUCCUGCUCAGCAGCAAAGCGUCCCGCAUGUCCAUCUACAUCUGUGCAAGUUGCAGGGAGAAAAGAGCAAUUAUGGAAGAUCAAGAGGAAGCUGGUGAGAACAGGAGUGGGGAACUGGUGUCUGCUGCUGGUUUCCAGUGUGCUCAGGGAAGGGGGAGAUGGGUAGAACAGGGUUACUCUACAUAAUAUACAUGAUUUACUGUUUUCCCUCCUAUCCACAAUGAUCCAAGACAAAAACCAGGCCAACAUCUCACUACGGGGGUGCAGGAGUGGUGCUGGUACCAGGGAGUUCACUGCGACCAUGAAUAACUAUAGAUUAAGGUAUUGUGACUAAGAUCCUUUGUGCAUGCAGGACGUCAUGAAUGUGGGUUAAGGAGGCCUAAAAUGCAGUGGAAAGUCACCACCCUCAGGUGCCAUUUUCUUAUUUUACUAUUACACAAAGAAAAAAAACGUUGCUCACCAGAAAAGGGCCCGAGCGUUACUGCGAUGGAGGAGGAUGGAGUUACUGCGAUGGAGGAGGACGGAGUUGGAGUUAGUUACUGCGAUGGA
rnacentral:lncRNA from 1 species